rnacentral:rRNA from 1 species
AGAAUCAACGCUGGCGGCGUGCCUAACACAUGCAAGUCGCACGAGAAAGGGGAGCAAUCCCUGAGUACAGUGGCGCACGGGUGAGUAACACGUGAAUAAUCUACCUCCGAGUGGGGAAUAAACUGAGAGAAAUCUUAGCUAAUACCGCAUAAUACCCACGGGUCAAAGCAGUAAUGCGCUUGGAGAGGAGUUCGCGGCAGAUUAGUUAGUUGGCGGGGUAAUGGCCCACCAAGACGAUGAUCUGUA